rnacentral:lncRNA from 1 species
CUAGUGUGUGAGAGAGGGGUGGUCUAGUGUGUGAGAGAGGGGUGGUGUAGUGUGAGAGAGGGGGGUGGUCUGGUGUGAGAGAGAGGGGUGGUCUGGUGUGAGAGAGAGGGGUGGUCUGGUGUGAGAGAGAGGGGUGGUCUGGUGUGAGAGAGAGGGGUGGUCUGGUGUGAGAGAGAGGGGUGGUCUGGUGUGAGAGAGAGGGGUGGUCUAGUGUGAGAGAGAGGGGUGGUCUAGUGUGAGAGAGGGGUGGUCUAGUGUGUGAGAGAGGGGUGGUCUAGUGUGAGAGAGGGGGGUGGUCUAGUGUGAGAGAGAGGGGUGGUCUAGUGUGAGAGAGAGGGGUGGUCUAGUGUGAGAGAGGGUGGUGUAGUGAGAGAGGGGUGGUGUAGUGAGAGAGGGGUGGUCUGGUGUGAGAGAGAGGGGUGGUCUGGUGUGAGAGAGAGGGGUGGUCUGGUGUGAGAGAGAGGGGUGGUCUAGUGUGAGAGAGAGGGGUGGUCUAGUGUGAGAGAGGGGGGUGGUCUAGUGUGAGAGAGAGGGGUGGUCUAGUGUGAGAGAGAGGGGUGGUCUAGUGUGUGAGAGAGGGGUGGUGUAGUGAGAGAGAGAGG